GCAGAAGAUAUGAAACUUGUGAAAGAAAAUAUAUCUGGUCAGUGUUGUCCAAUAUGGCAUUGUGAAUGUAGCUGUGAAAACCUUGUUAUGCCAACUUGUGAAGUGACUGUAGCCAAGACAUUAGUUGAAACAAGAACAAAAGCAAGUGUGCGACUACCUUGUUUCUAUUCCUGGC